AACGAACGCUGGCGGCAGGCCUAACACAUGCAAGUCGAACGGACCCUUCGGGGUUAGUGGCGGACGGGUGAGUAACACGUGGGAACGUGCCCUUUGGUUCGGAACAACUCAGGGAAACUUGAGCUAAUACCGAAUGUGCCCUUCGGUGGAAAGAUUUAUCGCCAUUGGAGCGGCUCGCGUCUGAUUAGCGAGUUGGUGGGGUAAUGGCCUACCAAGGCGACGAUCAGUAGCUGGUCUGAGAGGAUGAUCAGCCACAUUGGGACUGAGACACGGCCCAAACUCCUACGGGAGGCAGCAGUGGGGAAUCUUGCGCAAUGGGCGAAAGCCUGACGCAGCCAUGCCGCGUGAAUGAUGAAGGUCUUAGGAUUGUAAAAUUCUUUCACCGGGGACGAUAAUGACGGUACCCGGAGAAGAAGCCCCGGCUAACUUCGUGCCAGCAGCCGCAGUAACAC
rnacentral:rRNA from 1 species